rnacentral:rRNA from 1 species
UGAUUAUUGGAGGUAGAGCACUGUUUGGACGAGGGGCCCCUCUCGGGUUACCGAAUUCAGACAAACUCCGAAUGCCAAUUAAUUUAACUUGGGAGUCAGAACAUGGGUGAUAAGGUCCGUGUUCGAAAGGGAAACAGCCCAGACCACCAGCUAAGGUCCCAAAAUAUAUGUUAAGUGGAAAAGGAUGUGGCGUUGCCCAGACAACUAGGAUGUUGGCUUAGAAGCAGCCAUCAUUUAAAGAGUGCGUAAUAGCUCACUAGUCGAGUGACACUGCGCCGAAAAUGUACCGGGGCUAAACAUAUUACCGAAGCUGUGGAUUGUCCUUUGGACAAUGGUAGGAGAGCGUUCUAAGGGCGUUGAAGCAUGAUCGUAAGGACAUGUGGAGCGCUUAGAAGUGAGAAUGCCGGUGUGAGUAGCGAAAGACGGGUGAGAAUCCCGUCCACCGAUUGACUAAGGUUUCCAGAGGAAGGCUCGUCCGCUCUGGGUUAGUCGGGUCCUAAGCUGAGGCCGACAGGCGUAGGCGAUGGAUAACAGGUUGAUAUUCCUGUACCACCUAUAAUCGUUUUAAUCGAUGGGGGGACGCAGUAGGAUAGGCGAAGCGUGCGAUUGGAUUGCACGUCUAAGCAGUAAGGCUGAGUAUUAGGCAAAUCCGGUACUCGUUAAGGCUGAGCUGUGAUGGGGAGAAGACAUUGUGUCUUCGAGUCGUUGAUUUCACACUGCCGAGAAAAGCCUCUAGAUAGAAAAUAGGUGCCCGUACCGCAAACCGACACAGGUAGUCAAGAUGAGAAUUCUAAGGUGAGCGAGCGAACUCUCGUUAAGGAACUCGGCAAAAUGACCCCGUAACUUCGGGAGAAGGGGUGCUCUUUAGGGUUAACGCCCAGAAGAGCCGCAGUGAAUAGGCCCAAGCGACUGUUUAUCAAAAACACAGGUCUCUGCUAAACCGUAAGGUGAUGUAUAGGGGCUGACGCCUGCCCGGUGCUGGAAGGUUAAGAGGAGUGGUUAGCUUCUGCGAAGCUACGAAUCGAAGCCCCAGUAAACGGCGGCCGUAACUAUAACGGUCCUAAGGUAGCGAAAUUCCUUGUCGGGUAAGUUCCGACCCGCACGAAAGGCGUAACGAUUUGGGCACUGUCUCAACGAGAGACUCGGUGAAAUCAUAGUACCUGUGAAGAUGCAGGUUACCCGCGACAGGACGGAAAGACCCCGUGGAGCUUUACUGUAGCCUGAUAUUGAAAUUCGGCACAGCUUGUACAGGAUAGGUAGGAGCCUUUGAAACGUGAGCGCUAGCUUACGUGGAGGCGCUGGUGGGAUACUACCCUAGCUGUGUUGGCUUUCUAACCCGCACCACUUAUCGUGGUGGGAGACAGUGUCAGGCGGGCAGUUUGACUGGGGCGGUCGCCUCCUAAAAGGUAACGGAGGCGCUCAAAGGUUCCCUCAGAAUGGUUGGAAAUCAUUCAUAGAGUGUAAAGGCAUAAGGGAGCUUGACUGCGAGACCUACAAGUCGAGCAGGGUCGAAAGACGGACUUAGUGAUCCGGUGGUUCCGCAUGGAAGGGCCAUCGCUCAACGGAUAAAAGCUACCCCGGGGAUAACAGGCUUAUCUCCCCCAAGAGUUCACAUCGACGGGGAGGUUUGGCACCUCGAUGUCGGCUCAUCGCAUCCUGGGGCUGUAGUCGGUCCCAAGGGUUGGGCUGUUCGCCCAUUAAAGCGGUACGCGAGCUGGGUUCAGAACGUCGUGAGACAGUUCGGUCCCUAUCCGUCGUGGGCGUAGGAAAUUUGAGAGGAGCUGUCCUUAGUACGAGAGGACCGGGAUGGACAUACCUCUGGUGUACCAGUUGUCGUGCCAACGGCAUAGCUGGGUAGCUAUGUGUGGACGGGAUAAGUGCUGAAAGCAUCUAAGCAUGAAGCCCCCCUCAAGAUGAGAUUUCCCAACUUCGGUUAUAAGAUCCCUCAAAGAUGAUGAGGUUAAUAGGUUCGAGGUGGAAGCAUGGUGACAUGUGGAGCUGACGAAUACUAAUCGAUCGAAGAC